AGUGGUCUUAUUCACCACCCAGAAGGAGCCGAGUUUCUCUGCAGACGUUCGCGCUGUGUGUGCGAGGCGGGGAGCCGUGGGAGAUUGUGCCAAAGACAGAAAUCUUUGCUGCCGUUUCCUGGUUCCCGUUGAUUAAAUACCCACACCCCAUUGCACACGGGCAAUAUCGCAAGGCGACGGUGCUGUACAAGUGAAGCAGUGCAUUGUGGGCCAUUAAGUCCUCCGCUGUGAACUGUCAGACAAUAAAGUAACCUCUGUGUCUGUUU